rnacentral:rRNA from 1 species
AUUCCAGCUCCAAUAGCGUAUACUAAAGUUGUUGCAGUUAAAAAGCUCGUAGUUGAAUUUCUGGUCGUGGCGAUCGGUCCGCCCCUCACGGGGUGUGCACCUGGUCUCUACGUCCAUCCUCGGGGAGAGCAUGCCUGGCAUUUAGUUGUCGGGUGUGGGAUCCUCGUCAUUUACUGUGAGCAAAAUAGAGUGUUCAAAGCAGGCUUAGGCCGUUGAAUACAUUAGCAUGGAAUAAUAAGAUAGGACCUUGGUCUAUUUUGUUGGUUUGCAUUCCAAGGUAAUGAUUAAUAGGGAUAGUUGGGGGUAUUCGUAUUCAAUUGUCAGAGGUGAAAUUCUUGGAUUUAUGGAAGACGAACUACUGCGAAAGCAUUUACCAAGGAUGUUUUCAUCG